GACGAACGCUGGCGGCGUGCCUAAUACAUGCAAGUAGAACGCACAGUUUAUACCGUAGCUUGCUACACCAUAGACUGUGAGUUGCGAACGGGUGAGUAACGCGUAGGUAACCUGCCUGGUAACGGGGGAUAACUAUUGGAAACGAUAGCUAAUACCGCAUAAUAUUGAUUAUUGCAUGAUAAUUGAUUGAAAGAUGCUAUUGCAUCACUACCAGAUGGACCUGCGUUGUAUUAGCUAGUAGGUGAGGUAACGGCUCACCUAGGCGAGGAUACAUAGCCGACCGGAGAGGGUGAGCGGCCACACUGGGACUGAGACACGGCCCAGACGCCUACGGGAGGCAGCAGUAGGGAAUCUUCGGCAAUGGACGAAAGUCUGACCGAGCAACGCCGCGUGAGUGAAGAAGGUUUUCGGAUCGUAAAGCUCUGUUGUAAGAGAAGAACGGGUGUGAGAGUGGAAAGUUCACACUGUGACGGUAUCUUACCAGAAAGGGACGGCUAACUACGUG
rnacentral:rRNA from 1 species